GAUGAAGAACGUAGCGAAAUGCGAUAAGUAAUGCGAAUUGCAGAAUUCAGUGAGUCAUCGAAUCUUUGAACGCACAUUGCGCCCUGUGGUAUUCCGCAGGGCAUGCCUGUUCGAGCGUCAUUUCGACCCUCAAGCCCCGCUUGGUGUUGGGCCCCGCCCGCCGUGGCCGGCCCUAAAGACAGUGGCGGCGCCGCCUGGCCCUCAGCGUAGUACAGCUCUCGCUCCAGGGUCCGGCGGCCGCCUGCCAGAACCCCCCCAACUCUGUGGUUGACCUCGGAUCAGGUAGGGAUACCCGCUGAACUUAAGCAUAUCAAUAAGCGGAGGA
rnacentral:misc_RNA from 1 species